rnacentral:rRNA from 1 species
AACGAACGCUGGCGGCAUGCCUAACACAUGCAAGUCGAACGAGACCUUCGGGUCUAGUGGCGCACGGGUGCGUAACGCGUGGGAACCUGCCCUUAGGUUCGGAAUAACAGUUAGAAAUGACUGCUAAUACCGGAUAAUGUCUUCGGACCAAAGAUUUAUCGCCUUUGGAUGGGCCCGCGUAGGAUUAGGUAGUUGGUGGGGUAAAGGCCUACCAAGCCGACGAUCCUUAGCUGGUCUGAGAGGAUGAUCAGCCACACUGGGACUGAGACACGGCCCAGACUCCUACGGGAGGCAGCAGUGGGGAAUAUUGGACAAUGGGCGAAAGCCUGAUCCAGCAAUGCCGCGUGAGUGAUGAAGGCCUUAGGGUUGUAAAGCUCUUUUACCCGGGAUGAUAAUGACAGUACCGGGAGAAUAAGCUCCGGCUAACUCCGUGCCAGCCGCCGCAGUAAGAC